GUUUCACCGUAGUCGCGCAUUGACACGCCUCCUUCCCUGUGCUCUCCGCGUCCGGGAAAGGCAGCGACUUCAGGAAGCAACGUUUGAGACUCGGCCCAUUGACCGAGUUUUGGGGCGUCGACUUCUCUCCGCUCAGACCAAUCGGAGUUCACGGUGAAACUUUGUAAACAAGUCUUACACGCUGAGAUGAAGCUCGUCUUUUCUAUUUACUCCAAGAAAGACGCGACGGUGCUGCGGCCAAACGACUCAAAAGCAAAACAGCCAUCCAGAUGUUGAAAACAGACAAAACUCAGAAAGUAUUUGUGAGAACAAGAGGAAUAAGAUGAUGCAAAGCAGAAAGAAGCAGCACCAGAAUGCCUGCCAGCCUUUUGUGGCCUUACAUAAAACCUCAUGCUUGGAGCAGGUACUUUUUUGGCACACGUGGCUGAAAUGACCAAAGAAGAUCUGAAACCACUGGUGAGCAGUCCAAGCUUUCAAUGAAUGGGAACCUGUGGGAUGUUCUCAGGCCUUCAGAGGUGAUCUCAGCCAAACAGAGGAAACAUCUGCUCUACUGCUGUUCUAAAUGCUCCAGAUCUACACAAACACACACACGCAUACAUAUACACACACACACACACACCACAUACAGUCUUAGAGGUUGUGCCUGCCAGAGGAAGAGUGUUAUUACAAAAAGCACACAUGCCUUUAUACUUACAUACACAUUAACACACACACAGAUGCUGCCUGUCUUCCUCUCAUCCUCAUCCUGUCACAACCACAGUGCAGUUUGUCCUCCAGCUCACCAUCCCUGCAUUCAGGACCUGCACUAACAGCUGCUCUGGCAGCUAAAUCUGAGUCCCAUGUUCUGUUUGUCUUUAUAUUGGUCUGUUUGUUCUCGUGUUUCCCUCUAUCUUGACAAGAAGUCCUUAAUCAGCAGAAUUGAGCCAGUGUUUUUUAACAAUUGCUCAAACAGGUUACCAAAUAUGUUGUUAUGUUGUAGCAAAACCUAAUUAUCACAAUGAGAGUCCUUAAUUUCUGUUAUUAGCGAGUAUUUAAGUAUUAAAGUAUUCCGCUUUGCUGCAAAACUUGCAUAUACACGUUUUCAUCAGAGGAGAUGGUGUUUUUCUGUGUCUGCCUCAGUCUUGUGAUUUUUCCUGAGCAUGCUCAUGAUGUUUUAACUAUUUUGUACAAAAAGAGCUGAAAGAAAUGCAAGACAUUCUUUAAAGUAAAAAUAUGUUGGUUGUUGCAACGUGCCUAAACAAAAGGCAUUUGAGCUGUGUCACUCUAGAUAUCCACUUCUAUUUUUAAUGCUUAUAUACCAGUAAAUUCAACCUAUAUUUUUCAGUUGAAGUCCAUUUUUCUGUGCAAAUAACACUUCCAAAAUGCGGGUGACUAACAACUCAACGCAGUGCUCGAACACCUCCUAUGUAGACACUGAGUGAGCACUGGAGCUGCUGAUGCUGCUCUGCUAACAUUGUGCACAUGUUACACCUACUAUGUAGACACAAAGAAAGUAACUGUCUAAAUGGCCUAUAUAUGCACCCCCAUCGACAGGUUGAUUGUUCCUUACUGCUAUACAAUACUGUUCCAAAAUAAUUCAUUUGAGGCGUUACUGAUCUGACUGGGUAAUGUGAACAGUCAUCUCCUGUGUCAAAGUAACAUCCAUUCACUCUUCUCCCUAACAGAUUU
rnacentral:lncRNA from 1 species